rnacentral:rRNA from 1 species
ACUAUCAACAACGGAUCUCUUGGCUCUCACAUCGAUGAAGAACGCAGCGAACCGCGAUAUUUUUUGUGACUUGCAGAUGUGAAUCAUCAAUCUUUGAACGCACAUUGCGCGGUGUGGUAUUCCGCACCGCAUGGAUGGAAGAGCGUGUUCCCUCUGGGAUCGCACUGCUUUCUUGAAAUUUAUUGAACUAUUCAUUAUCUAAUUCUCACCUCUUUCAUCCAAGAUUACCCGCUGAACUUAAGCAUAUCAAUAAGCGGAGGAAAAGAAACCAACAGGGAUUGCCUCAGUAACGGCGAGUGAAGCGGCAAAAGCUCAAAUUUGAAACCCUCGGGAUUGUAAUUUGAAGAUUUGGAAUUGAGAAAAGCUAACCCAAGUUACUUGGAAUAGUACGUCAUAGAGGGUGACAACCCCGUCUGGCUAACCGUUUCUCAUGUAUUUCCUUAUCAAAGAGUCGAGUUGUUUGGGAAUGCAGCUCAAAGUGGGUGGUAAACUCCAUCUAAAGCUAAAUACUGGUGAGAGACCGAUAGCGAACAAGUACUGUGAAGGAAAGGUGAAAAGAACUUUGAAAAGAGAGUGAAAUAGUAUGUGAAAUUGUUGAUAGGGAAGGGAAUGAGCGGAGAGUGGUGAUAGUUUCAGCGGCCGUUCGCGGCCGUGUAUUGCUUUAGCCGAGUCAUGGUGAGUGGAGAGAGGGAUAUAAACGGGUUGCUUUUAAGCUUCUCACCUACCCCUCUUCCUCCUUACCACGACAUAAUCCGCCCAUUCCACCCGUCUUGAAACACGGACCAAGGAGUCUAAUGGAUAUGUGAGUGUUAGGAUGUCAAAUCCCAGCGCGCAAUGAAAGUGAAUGAUUCGUUCAGAAUCGACCGAACUAGAUUUUUAUGACAGUUUUGAGUAAACACAUCCAUUGGGACCCGAAAGAUGGUGAACUAUGCCUGGAUAGGGUGAAGUCAGAGGAAACUCUGAUGGAGGCUCGUAGCGGUUCUGACGUGCAAAUCGAUCGUAGAAUCUGGGUAUAGGGGCGAAAGACUAAUCGAACCAUCUAGUAGCUGGUUCCUGCCGAAGUUUCCCUCAGGAUAGCAGAAGCUCAUAUCAGUUUUAUGAGGUAAAGCGAAUGAUUAGAAGUAUUGGGGGCGAAAUGCCCUCGGCUUAUUCUCAAACUUUAAAUAUGUAAGAAGUUGUAGUUACUUAAUCGAACUUCAACUACGAAUGAAGAGCUUCUAGUGGGCCAUUUUUGGUAAGCAGAACUGGCGAUGCGGGAUGAACCGAACGUGGAGUUAAGGUGCCGGAAUACACGCUCAUCAGACACCACAAAAGGUGUUAGUUUAUCUAGACAGCCGGACGGUGGCCAUGGAAGUCGGAAUCCGCUAAGGAGUGUGUCACAACUCACCGGCCGAAUGAACUAGCCCUGAAAAUGGAUGGCGCUUAAGCGUGUUACCUAUACUCUACCGAGAGGAGGUUUCCUCUCGAGUAGGCAGGCGUGGGGGUUGUUGAGAAGCGUUGGCCGUGAGGCUGCGUCGAACGGCCCCUAGUGCAGAUCUUGGUGGUAGUAGCAAAUAUUCAAAUGAGAACUUUGAAGACUGAAGUGGGGAAAGGUUCCGUGUGAACAGCAGUUGGACACGGGUGAGUCGAUCCUAAGGGGUGGCAUAACUGUCGCGUACGGCCUGAUAAAGGCCUUCUCCAAAAGGGAAGCUGGUUGAAAUUCCAGCACUUGGAUGUGGAUUCUCCACGGUAACGUAACUGAAUGUGGGGACGGUGGCACAAGUCUUGGAAGGAGUUAUCUUUUCUUUUUAACGGAGUCAACACCCUGGAAUUAGUUUGUCUAGAGAUAGGGUAUCGUUCCGGAAGAGGGGGGCAGCUUUGUCCCCUCCGAUGCACUUGGGAUCAAUUGUGAUCGAGUAGUGAUUGAGUACUGUAUAUUACGAAUUGUCGUACUGUAGGGUGUGGUCAGCUACUUGUAGAGUACUUGUAGAGAUGGGUGUAAGUUGAGGUUAUACAUACAUACACACAAUCCAUUUAUUCACUAUUGGCAGUAACUGUUGUUCAUCAGAAGGCCUCGCCCCGAAUAUACGAUUUUUGACAAGGGGUGAUGUUACCCCAGUCCUCAAUCCUCCUCCAGCAUUCCACAAAUAAUAAUAAAUGCCCAUCCCUUACACUCACAAUUCUGCAAACAUCUCUGUGAGGUUAUUCAGAGCCCAAAAUAGAGUAAGCUAGAAGCCUACAGUACACAGUGACAAGCUCUACAGUGACAAGUACCGUACGUACAAGGACGGGUUGUUAUUGUGUCUUGAAUCAGUGUUGUAGCGCCUGGUUGUGUUUUUU